rnacentral:rRNA from 1 species
CCCUUAGAUGUCCUGGGCCGCACGCGCGCUACACUGAACGGAUCAGCGCGUUUUCCCUUCCCGAGAGGGACGGGUAGCCUGCUGAACCCCGUUCGUGGUAGGGAUCGGGGCUUGCAAUUAUUCCCCGUGAACCAGGAAUGCCCAGUAAGUGCAAGUCAUAAGCUUGCGUUGAUUACGUCCCUGCCCUUUGUACACACCGCCCGUCGCUACUACCGAUUGAACGUUUUAGUGAGGUACUCGGACUGAGCCUCAGAAGAUUCACGUCUUUUGUGCUGCUCGGGAAGAUUCCCAAACUUGAGCGUUUAGAGGAAGUAAAAGUCGUAACA